rnacentral:rRNA from 1 species
AAGCUCGUAGUUGAAUUUCGGGAUUAGUGCGUUGGUCGUGCCUUAGGUACGUACUGGUGUUACUGGUUCCUACCUUCUGACGAACCAUCAUGUCAUUAAUUUGGUGUGGUGGGGAAUCAGGACUGUUACUUUGAAAAAAUUAGAGUGUUUAAAGCAGGCUCGCGCUUGAAUACAUUAGCAUGGAAUAAUGAAAUAGGACGUUGAUCCUAUUUUGUUGGUUUCUAGGAUUGACGUAAUGAUUAAUAGGGAUAGUUGGG